UGCUGGGAGUCCAAAUGCAAAUCAAAUUGAGCAAGAACAGACGAGAGUUGCAUAUUGUGGAAAAACUGUAUGCCAGUGUUGUGCUUAGGCACAGGGACAGGAUGGAGGUUAGGACCUCCUCAAACACUCGUUCAGGUAGCCUGAAGCAUUCCUCGAAGAAGUUCACCAGGGACUGGCUGAGGUGCUGCCUUGUUGCUUCACUGUGAAUGAAGUGGCCUUCAUCUGGGUAGAUCUGAACCAUAAAGAAUAGGUGUGUUCAAGGACGAGGAGACAACGGGACAGCGGCACCUGAUAAUGCAACAUUGAUGUGUAUUGAUGGACCCCAGGGGAC